GUUGACACACCUGGGUUAAGUCUCCACAUUCUGGAGCGGUCACGUGACUCCUCGACAUGAAGCCUGUCAGGACAUUUCCAGACAAUCUUCAGUACCUGACUAUCUCAGACAGUCACAGGAAUGCCGCUCCCUCCCUUUACGUCCAUGUGGGAAUGUGCCUCCUCCUCCUCCAUUAACUGUGUCUGGAGGCCGGUCUCUGAGGGAAGUCGACGUCAGCUGCAUGGACGGCGCAAGCUCAGCUGAUCUCCGUUUUCCUGUACCUUGGAGACAUCAUGCCUCGUCGGUGUGUUGUCGGAGGGUGUAACAACACCAACAGGGACGGAUUCAAGUUGCACCACUGGCCAAAAGAUGCGAAAGUCCAUCGUUUGUUCCACACACUUUACCGACGACAGAGAUGGGAAGAAUGUGUGGAUAUCCUGCAACACUCAAAGCAGAUGCAUUGCCAACGAUAAAGUCAACAAAAUCACAAAGUGUGCAACCCUCAGUGGAAAAAGUUUGGACACCCCUGGCCUAAGACCUUUGAUGUUCCCGUUGGGUCAACUUAUGCACAGUCAGACCAGAUCCAGGACACAGCCUGACCGCUUUGAUAACUUCAGCUCCUCUGUGUACCAUAGGGCAGACCAGGCAGGCGUGAUGUGGAUUAUCUGGCCGCUGCUGUGACCUCAGCUGUCCUCGCCGUGACCAGACGACAGAGUUCACAGCAAAAAGACAGACAUCUGCUUUAGUCGCGGUGCCUAUAUCAGCUACAAUCGGGCGGAAGCCGCGGUACACCCUGGACAAGUCCCCUACUCAUCACAGUAUGUGUAGAAAUCUUUAUAAUUGAAUCACUUGUUUAUUUUUCAACAAGUUUUUAGUUAUUCGUAUAUCUUUUUGUCCAAAUAGUUAAAAAAAGACCACUACAAAUGAGCAAUAUGUUGCACUGUUAUACAAUUUAAUGAAUCAGAAACUGAUGACAUAGUGCUGUAUUUUACUUCAUCUUUUUUUUUCAACCAAAAAUGCUUUGCUCUGAUUAGGGGGUACUUGAAUUAAAAAAAUGUUCACAGGGGGUACAUCUCUGAAAAAAGGUUGAGAACCACUGCUCUAAAAGCUGUAGAUGUUAUUGUCACAUAUGCAUGCACAGUAGAUGGCAGUAUUGUCCUGUUUAAGAGUGUCACAACAUUGCUGUUUACGGCAGAUGAACUGCUUUACAUUACCGUUACGAAAACGUGACUGCUGUUGUUGUGUGUUGUUACCGCGCUGGGAGGAUGUUAAUGAAACUGCCUAACAAUAAACCCACAUAAGAAACCAAGAACUUGCCCUCGAUCAUUCUACAGUUAUAACAUCAUUGGGCAGGCACUCUGUUUAUAUUGUGGGA